GGGGAAUAUUGCACAAUGGGCGCAAGCCUGAUGCAGCGACGCCGCGUGCGGGAUGGAGGCCUUCGGGUUGUAAACCGCUUUUGUUCAAGGGCAAGGCACGGUCUUUGGCCGUGUUGAGUGGAUUGUUCGAAUAAGCACCGGCUAACUACGUGCCAGCAGCCGCGGUAAUACGUAGGGUGCAAGCGUUAUCCGGAUUUAUUGGGCGUAAAGGGCUCGUAGGCGGUUCGUCGCGUCCGGUGUGAAAGUCCAUCGCUUAACGGUGGAUCCGCGCCGGGUACGGGCGGGCUUGAGUGCGGUAGGGGAGACUGGAAUUCCCGGUGUAACGGUGGAAUGUGUAGAUAUCGGGAAGAACACCAAUGGCGAAGGCAGGUCUCUGGGCCGUUACUGACGCUGAGGAGCGAAAGCGUGGGGAGCGAAC
rnacentral:rRNA from 1 species